CAGUUGCCUCCUCCCUGCGACAGACCAGGCACUAGCACGCACGCGACCACCGCCGUCUCCAUCUAGAUCCCGCCGCCGCCGCCGCCGCCGCCGAUGCAGGUCCAUGGCAGCCCCCAAGGGUUCACUCAGCUCCUCCUCAGCAUGGGAGUUCCAUGCCUAGAUUCGCCGAGGCAUGAUCGAGAAGAUGCAAUCUUUGUGGGAGAUGAGUGCAGCAGCCCAAGCCGGAGCGUCGAGUCUGGGAGCUCUGUAAGCAGCGGCGGAUUUCACGGAGGUAGCGGCGCCGGAUCUCGGGAUUCGCCACCAUCGCCGGGGUCAUGGAACAAUAGGGAAUGCGAUUUUUGAAGCAGAGGAGUUGGAGAAGGAUAUUACACAUGUUAUCUAUCCCGAAACGCACACAUCACCCUCAUACAUCGGAAAAGAGGCCACGAGUCAGAAAGAUUUCUGAUUUCCGAUCAGCAAAGAAUGGGAGGAAAAGCGCUCUGGAAUUAAAACUCCGAAAUUUGGAAAUAGGUAUUCGGACACGGUAGUAGCUACUGAGACAGGGAUGGAGUUUGAUUGGGGUCACCGAGGCACGAUAAGACAAACUCAGUGGCAUGUGGAUGUCAAGCCAUGAUCAGACUGAAAUGUACAGAAGACCAUGGGUGGUUCAUUCAUGUGUUCCCGAAGAAUCACAACCACAGUAUGUUGGUUUCUUGCGGAGAGAAGAUGCACUGGCCAUCACAUAGAAGCCUCCGACCCACACACAACCCUUUGUCAGGAACCUUAGGGAUAAUAAUGUUGGGCUCGACAAGAUGUAUACUGUCAUUGGGAGCUUUUUUUUUGGAUAAAUGGAGAAUGUACCAUUCAACAAGCAAUCUCUCAAGUCUCUGUAAGGCAGCAUUUCGUGUUCUCUGUUAAAAAAAAUAUCUCGUGUUCACUGAUAUUUUUUUCGUCCCAAUGACACCAUCUUUAUACUUCAUUGAGAGAUUAGACCAACUUUGUAAUAGACAUUAGAUAUGGCAGGUGUUCUGUCCUCUACAUGUAUGAGGCUAGAUUUUUUGACGUGUAUUAGUAUGCCUAAUAAAGUUUCAGUUAUGUA